rnacentral:rRNA from 1 species
AUGGUUAAGCGACUAAGGGUGUACGGUGGAUGCCUAGGCGGUAGAAGGCGAUGAAGGACGUGGUAGCCUGCGAUAAGCCUCGGGGAGCUGGCAACAAGCUUUGAUCCGGGGAUUUCCGAAUGGGGAAACCCACCGCAUUAGCGGUAUCCUGCUUUGCAGGAGGCGAACCCGGCGAACUGAAACAUCUAAGUAGCCGGAGGAAAAGAAAUCAACCGAGAUUCCCUAAGUAGCGGCGAGCGAAAGGGGAUUAGCCCGCACGAUUUAGCCAUUGGCUUAGCAGAACGGUCUGGAAAGUCCGGCGAUACAGGGUGAUAGCCCCGUAUGCGAAAAGCCAUUGGUGGAACUAAGCGUGCAAAGAGUAGGGCGGGACACGUGGAAUCCUGUCUGAAGAUGGGGGGACCACCCUCCAAGGCUAAAUACUCUCUACCGACCGAUAGUGAACCAGUACCGUGAGGGAAAGGCGAAAAGAACCCCGGGAGGGGAGUGAAAUAGAACCUGAAACCGUGCACCUACAAGCAGUCAGAGCCCUUUAUGGGUGAUGGCGUACCUUUUGUAUAAUGGGUCAGCGACUUAAUCUCAGUGGCAAGGCUAACCGACUAGGGGAGCCGUAGGGAAACCGAGUCUUAAAUGGGCGCACAGUCGCUGGGAUUAGACCCGAAACCGGGCGAUCUAUCCAUGGCCAGGGUGAAGGCUGGGUAACACCAGCUGGAGGCCCGAACCCACUAAUGUUGAAAAAUUAGGGGAUGAGCUGUGGAUAGGAGUGAAAGGCUAAUCAAGCUCGGAGAUAGCUGGUUCUCCUCGAAAACUAUUUAGGUAGUGCCUCGUGUCUCACUGCCGGGGGUAGAGCACUGUUAUGGUCUAGGGGGCCGUCAAGGCUUACCAGCCCAUGGCAAACUCCGAAUACCGGCAAGUGCAAUCACGGGAGACAGACGGCGGGUGCUAACGUCCGUCGUCGAGAGGGAAACAACCCAGACCGCCAGCUAAGGUCCCUAAACCAUGCUCAGUGGGAAAGGAAGUGGGAAGGCUUAGACAGUCAGGAGGUUGGCUUAGAAGCAGCCACCCUUUAAAGAAAGCGUAAUAGCUCACUGAUCGAGUCGGCCUGCGCCGAAGAUUUAACGGGGCUAAGCAUGGUACCGAAGCUGCGGAUGCCGCAAGGCAUGGUAGAGGAGCGUUCCGUAAGCCUGCGAAGGUGUGUCGACAAGGCAUGCUGGAGGUAUCGGAAGUGCGAAUGCUGACAUGAGUAGCGAUAAAGGGAGUGAAAAACUCCCUCGCCGAAAGCCCAAGGGUUCCUGCGCAACGCUAAUCGGCGCAGGGUUAGUCGGCCCCUAAGGCGAGGCCGAAAGGCGUAGUCGAUGGGAAACAGGUUAAUAUUCCUGUACCGCGCGUUACUGCGAUGGGGGGACGGAGAAGGCUAGGUCAGCCAACUGCUGGAAUAGUUGGUUCAAGCCUGUAGGCGGGCGUGCCAGGCAAAUCCGGUGCGCCGCUAACGCCGAGAGGUGAUGACGAGCUCCUACGGGAGCGAAGUGAUUGAUGCCAUGCUUCCAGGAAAAGCCUCUAAGCUUCAGGUAACGCGUGACCGUACCCGAAACCGACACAGGUGGGCUGGACGAGAAUUCCAAGGCGCUUGAGAGAACUCGGGUGAAGGAACUAGGCAAAAUGGCACCGUAACUUCGGGAGAAGGUGCGCCGGCGGUAGGUGAAGCCCCUUGCGGGUGGAGCUGAGGCCGGUUGCAGAGACCAGGGGGCUGCGACUGUUUACUAAAAACACAGCACUCUGCAAACUCGAAAGAGGAAGUAUAGGGUGUGACGCCUGCCCGGUGCCGGAAGGUUAAGUGAUGGGGUUAGGCCUUCGGGCCGAAGCUCCUGAUCGAAGCCCCGGUAAACGGCGGCCGUAACUAUAACGGUCCUAAGGUAGCGAAAUUCCUUGUCGGGUAAGUUCCGACCUGCACGAAUGGCGUAACGAUGGCCCCGCUGUCUCCACCCGAGACUCAGCGAAAUUGAAAUCGCAGUUAAGAUGCUGUGUACCCGCGGCUAGACGGAAAGACCCCGUGAACCUUUACUACAGCUUUACACUGGACUCGGGUAAUACUUGUGUAGGAUAGGUGGGAGGCUGUGAAGCCAGGGCGCCAGCUCUGGUGGAGCCGUCCUUGAAAUACCACCCUGGUAUUAUCUGGGUUCUAACCUCGGGCAGUUAUCCUGCCCAGGGACAGUGUAUGGUGGGUAGUUUGACUGGGGCGGUCUCCUCCUAAAGAGUAACGGAGGAGCGCGAAGGUACCCUCAGCACGGUCGGACAUCGUGCAUUGAGCGCAAGGGUAAAAGGGUGCUUGACUGCGAGACAGACACGUCGAGCAGGUGCGAAAGCAGGUCCUAGUGAUCCGGUGGCUCUGAGUGGAAGGGCCAUCGCUCAACGGAUAAAAGGUACUCCGGGGAUAACAGGCUGAUACCGCCCAAGAGUCCAUAUCGACGGCGGUGUUUGGCACCUCGAUGUCGGCUCAUCACAUCCUGGGGCUGAAGUCGGUCCCAAGGGUAUGGCUGUUCGCCAUUUAAAGUGGUACGCGAGCUGGGUUUAGAACGUCGUGAGACAGUUCGGUCCCUAUCUGCCGUGGGCGUUGGAGAGUUGAGGGGGGCUGCUCCUAGUACGAGAGGACCGGAGUGGACGAACCUCUGGUGUUCCGGUUGUCGCGCCAGCGGCACUGCCGGGUAGCUACGUUCGGAAGGGAUAACCGCUGAAAGCAUCUAAGCGGGAAACCUGCCCCAAGAUAAGCUCUCCCUGGAUCCUUGAGAUCCCUGAAGGGCCGUCCAAGACUAGGACGUUGAUAGGCCGGGUGUGGAAGCGCAGCAAUGCGUGAAGCUAACCGGUACUAAUGACCCGUGAGGCUUAACCAU